rnacentral:rRNA from 15 species
UGGAUGCCUUGGCGAUUACAGGCGAUGAAGGACGUAGUAGCUUGCGAUAAGCUGCGGGGAGUGAGCAAACACACUUUGAUCCGCAGAUUUCCGAAUGGGGAAACCCGGCCUUUUAGGUCAUUGCAUGCUGAAUACAUAGGCAUGCAAAGCGAACGCGGCGAACUGAAACAUCUAAGUAGCUGCAGGAAAAGAAAUCAACCGAGAUUCCCAAAGUAGUGGCGAGCGAAAUGGGAAGAGCCUGUACGUGAUAGUCGACUGGAUAGUGGAACGGAUUGGAAACUCCGGCCAUAGAGGGUGAUAG